rnacentral:rRNA from 1 species
CCUACGGGUGGCAGCAGUGAGGGAUAUUGGUCAAUGGGGGAAACCCUGAACGAGCAACGCCGCGUGAGGGAAGACGGUUUUCGGAUUGUAAACCUCUGUCCUCUGUGAAGAUAAUGACUGUAGCAGAGUAGGAAGCUCCGGCUAACUACGUGCCAGAAACCGCGGGAAUACGUCGGGAGCAAACGUUGUCCGGAUUUACUGUGUGUAAAGGUUGCGUAGGCGGCCCUGCAAGUCAGAAGUGAAAUCCAUGGGCUUAACCCGUGAACUGCUUUUGAAACUGUAGGGCUUGAGUGAAGUAGAGGCAGGCGGAAUUCCAGGUGUAGCGGUGAAAUGCGUAGAGAUAGGGAGGAACACCAGUGGCGAAGGCGACCUGCUGGGCUUUAACUGACGCUGAAGCACGAAAGCGUGGGUAGCAAACAGGAUUAGAUACCCGAGUAGUC